AUUGAACGCUGGCGGGAGGCUUAACACAUGCAAGUCGAGCGAGCGGCGGACGGGUGAGUAAUGUCUGGGAAACUGCCUGAUGGAGGGGGAUAACUACUGGAAAGGGUAGCUAAUACCGCAUACCAUUAGAUCGGCCCAGAUGGGAUUAGCUAGUAGGUGGGGUAAUGGCUCACCAAGGCGACGAUCCGUAGCUGGUCUGAGAGGAUGACCAGCCACACUGGAACUGAGACACGGUCCAGACUCCUACGGGAGGCAGCAGUGGGGAAUAUUGCACAAUGGGCGCAAGCCUGAUGCAGCCAUGCCGCGUGUGUGAAGAAGGCCUUCGGGUUGUAAAGCACUUUCAGCGAGGAGGCGUUACUCGCAGAAGAAGCACCGGCUAACUCCGUGCCAGCAGCCGCGGUAAUUC
rnacentral:rRNA from 1 species